rnacentral:rRNA from 1 species
AUGAAGGUGCUAAGCUAGAACUGCCGGGGGCUCGGGCAACCUCGGACAGUUCAGGAGCUGGUAUGCCUAGUGCAUACUCACAAGCCCAAGCUCGUCUUCCUAGCUGAAACGAGACAGUGCGAGAAUAAACGAGACGGUAUGAAAUUGAGACUAGGUUUGAAACAUUGCCUUACCCAGGAUGGUAAGGGCAAAGGGGCUGGUAUUGCACUGUACUGGGACGAUUCAAUAAAAAUAAAAGUUUUGUCGUAUGGGCCGAGGUAUUUUGAUGUGAUUGUAUCUGAACCCCACAGUCCUAAAUGGCGGGGAACAUUUGUGUAUGGUGUACCAAAGGGCCAAGAUCGGCAUCUCAUGUGGAGUCAGCUUCAAAACAUUGCACCAAAAUCAAAUGAACCCUGGCUAAUGGUGGGUGACUUCAAUGAGACCAUGUGGCAACAUGAGCAUUUUUCCUAUGUGAAGAGGUUAGAGAGGAAGAUGUCUAACUUUAGAGAUGUCCUCUCCUUCUACGAGCUGCAUGACUUGGGUUACAAAGGUCCAAGUUGGACUUAUGAUAAUAAGCAAGGGGUGAGCAAGAACAUCAAAGCUAGAUUAGACAGGGUUGUGGCCUCACAAGCUUGGUGA